ACCUCAUGAUAUGGGCAUUGGGUUAGUUUUCCAUUAAAGCUCUCCCUUUCUUCAAACAAUGGUUCUUCAUUCAGUUUCUAGAAAUUUACAAUCUAAUCCAACUUUUGAAGCA
rfam:Capsicum annuum cultivar Zunla-1 chromosome 10, whole genome shotgun sequence